GCCUGGCUGGCUCGGUCAGUAGAGCAUGGGACUCUUAAUCUCAGGGUUGUGAGUUUGAGCCCCACAUUGGGCA
rnacentral:tRNA from 1 species